rnacentral:rRNA from 1 species
UACGGAGGGUGCGAGCGUUGUCCGGAAUCAUUGGGCGUAAAGGGCGCGUAGGUGGCCCGGUCAGCGUGCGGUGAAAGCUCGGGGCUCAACCCCGAGUCGGCCGUGCGAACUGCUGGGCUUGAGCACUGUAGAGGCAGGCGGAAUUCCGGGUGUAGCGGUGGAAUGCGUAGAGAUCCGGAAGAACACCGGUGGCGAAGGCGGCCUGCUGG